ACCUGUGCACCCUCUGUAGUUCUGCGGUCUGGGGGGACCCCUCUCUUCCGUCUGCGGUUCUGCUUCUUACNCAUCUACACUGUAACGCGUUUUUAUGGAAUGUACGCAGCGUUUAACUCAAUACAAUACAACUUUCANCAACGGAUCUCUUGGCUCUCGCAUCGAUGAANAACGCAGCGAAAUGCGAUAAGUAAUGUGAAUUGCANAAUUCAGUGAAUCAUCUGAAUCUUUGAACGCACCUUGCGCCCUUUGGCUAUUCCGAUAUGGGCAUGCCUGAUUUGAGUAUCAUGAACACCUCAACUCUCGUGGUUCGCCAUGAUCGAGUCUUGGACUUUGGAGGCUUUGCUGGCCUGUGGUCGUGCUCCUCUCAAUAUGAAUCAUCUUACCGGUGUAUUGGUGGCGUCAUCAGGUGUGAUAACUAUCUACGCUUGCGGUCGUCUGCCAUACUAUACCUCUGGCUAUCGUCAGAGGUUUGCCGGGGGCUCAUAAACGUCUCCCGAGUGAAGACAGCCUUCUGAACGUUUGAUCUCAAAUCANGUAGGACUACCCGCUGAACUUA
rnacentral:rRNA from 1 species